rnacentral:snRNA from 1 species
UUGUUGGGUCAGAGUUUUCAGU